GUUCGAGCGCUGGGGCUGCGGUUGGGAAACUACUGGAGGAUGUGGUGCACCAGAAUAAGAGAAUAAACCAAGAAACAGGAAGACGUGAUCCAGGCAACAGGAUAUUCCAGUAUAGUGUUGGAAACAGAAGCCCAGUAGUGAAAGCUACAGCUGCCAUAUACUUGCAGUGGAAUCACAGGAGCAAUCACAGGUCUUUAAUUUAAUUCUGGAGUGUGAGCAGGAACCAGUUAACUACAUUCAUUGUCCAACCCCCACUGGUUUGAAAGAAGACUCCAAAUUCUUGGCAUAUGAAUCAGCUGUUCGGUAGCUCCACCUUAUCCCUGCAGCGAAGCAGCAGAACCGCCAAUGGCGGCACCUCAGGAUUCACACUGUGGGUGGUGAGGCCUUCCGCUGAAGGAGGUACUGGUGGAUGCUCUCAGCAUCUCGCUUUAGCCAGGCAGCAUUCAGCAGAAUAUUUUCACAACACUGCUGGAUGGUACGCUCAGCUGAAGGAGCUGGGUGACUCUCGAAGAAAGCCUGGUAUAAAAC
rnacentral:lncRNA from 1 species